AUUCAUAUUUAAUAUAUCCAAUACCUACCAUCUCACUCCUCCGACUUCCAGCUGUGAUGCCCCUCAAAACCAUCACUAUUGUCGAACAUUUUUUCUUCUAUCAAUCAGGUUUGGUACGUUCUGCUUCUCAAAGCGCCAGUCCCUGUCACCGCCGACGCUUCCUCUUCGUCGAUUUUGCUCUACUCCUCUAUUCGAUUACGCCCCCACCCAAUGACGUUGCUAUUGAAGAUGAGUACAAAUUGUUUGAAGCGUCCAAGAUGCCCUAAAUUCAAUCCCUAAAUCUUGCAAAUGUUGCUCCGACAAACCCAUAAACAUCGGCGCCAUGGCGUUUCGGACGAGACGAUCCUCUAUUUUGGGCUGGGUACAAGCCGAUGUUGGCUAAUUCCAUCGAUGUUGGCUAAUUCAUAAUUGAUGGUCCUACCCAUCUCUAAGUUCAGCAUCGCCCUUUAUCCACCGCCUCCUUUAUCGUUACAAAUGCUUCAAGUCUCCACCGCUUUACAUAAGUUUAAAAAUUGAUCGACAACAAUUUCGUUUUUGCUCUGGAAAGCCUUCGACACUAUUAGGUUUCGACGCUAUUAGGUGGAUCUCCAUUAAACAUCGGCCCUACAUCACUUACGGUUUGGAAUGCAUGUACAAGGUCAUAUCUAAUUGAUAGGCUUCCAGGGGAAUGAGGAGCUGUGGGGGAAUGAGGAAUUAAAGUCUCCUUAUAAGGAAUUUUGCAGCUAAGUUUUCUUUCUGUUUCUUCCUUUCAGUGGGUUUUGUUUAUUGGGUUGUAAAUCGUAUUUGAUUUAAUUAGUAAUUUGUUGUGCGCUUUGGUUGUUUAGAUGGUCUUCGUGUCAGGUUUUUUUUCAAGUCAAUCCUUUGUUGGAUUUUUUAUAUGGAUUGGUUUACUAAUGGAUUGGAUUUGGAAUUUGGAAAUUAUCUGAUUUUUAAUAUUUGAGCUUAAGGAGUAAUUAACCAUUCUGAACAUUGUACCCGGUCCUCGUAUGUGUACUCAGAAGCGAAGCCUAUAUAUGCUUUCAAGGAUGCGGUGUAUCAAAUUCUAAGCUGCCAUCUUCCAAGAAGAGAAGAAUAUUACCCAUCUAAAUAUUAUGCUACUAAGGUUUUCAAGAAUGAAUGUUCAGAAGUAGAGAAUUGAUUGAGAAAGAAGACAGAGCAACAUGACUAACUUCCGAAAUAUUCUGAUCCAGUUCUUCUGUCAUCUAAUAUUAGAAGGAAAGCAGAGGCAAUGGACAGCCGGACGGGAUGGGUUCGAACAUAAAUCUAUCAACAUAUUAAGCUUUCUCAAAAAGAUUAAUUCAGAAGAUCGGUGGGUCUCCACAUGACGGAAGUACAUUGUUAUUAGUAACAAUGUUAUCUCAACAUAUUUCCAUUAUUUACAUCUAAAUACCUGCCUUGAUGAUUAUAGCGUCUUUACUUUCAUUUAUUUUAUUACAAAGUUGUACUGUCAUUUUUUUAUUACUAAGGCAUCGUACUUUCAAAUAUCCAUAUAAAACCCCCAUCUUGCAA